CAUGCAAGUCGAGCGGCAGCGGGAAGUAGCUUGCUACUUUGCCGGCGAGCGGCGGACGGGUGAGUAAUGUCUGGGAAACUGCCUGAUGGAGGGGGAUAACUACUGGAAACGGUAGCUAAUACCGCAUGACCUCGCAAGAGCAAAGUGGGGGACCUUCGGGCCUCACGCCAUCGGAUGUGCCCAGAUGGGAUUAGCUAGUAGGUGAGGUAAUGGCUCACCUAGGCGACGAUCCCUAGCUGGUCUGAGAGGAUGACCAGCCACACUGGAACUGAGACACGGUCCAGACUCCUACGGGAGGCAGCAGUGGGGAAUAUUGCACAAUGGGCGCAAGCCUGAUGCAGCCAUGCCGCGUGUGUGAAGAAGGCCUUAGGGUUGUAAAGCACUUUCAGCGAGGAGGAAGGGUUCAGUGUUAAUAGCACUGUGCAUUGACGUUACUCGCAGAAGAAGCACCGGCUAACUCCGUGCCAGCAGCCGCGGUAAUACGGAGGGUGCAAGCGUUAAUCGGAAUUACUGGGCGUAAAGCGCACGCAGGCGGUUUGUUAAGUCAGAUGUGAAAUCCCC
rnacentral:rRNA from 1 species